rnacentral:rRNA from 1 species
CCGCUUUCAGCAGGAACGAAAAUGACGGUACCUGCAGAAGAAGGAGCGGCCAACUACGUGCCAGCAGCCGCGGUGACACGUAGGCUCCAAGCGUUGUCCGGAUUUAUUGGGCGUAAAGAGCUCGUANGCGGUUUAGUAAGUCGGGUGUUAAAACUCUGGGCUCAACCCGGAGAGGCCAUCCGAUACUGCUGUGACUUGAGUUCAGGAGGGGAGCGGGGAAUUCCUAGUGUAGCGGUGAAAUGCGCAGAUAUUAGGAGGAACACCGGUGGCGAAGGCGCCGCUCUGGACUGAAACUGACGCUGAGGAGCGAAAGCAUGGGUAGCAAACAGGAUUAGAUACCCUGGUAGUCCAUGCCGU